GCAACCAAGUAUGCUCUAAUGCAAAAGGAGACUAUCAAGUAUACUACAUGUCUCAACACUAUGCUAAAAGCAUAUAAAUAUAAUUCAACUACUAAACCUAUCUAGUAGCGAUUAACCAUUCUCAACACCGUGUCGAUUUCCAUUUCCAAUUAAGGACCUACCAAAGAUAGUCCAGCUUGUGCCGCCUAAGUGCCUGUGGUAGCCCAACAUCCCUACUCUUGGAAUGUGUCUGUCCCACUCGACCC
rnacentral:lncRNA from 1 species